AUCAUUAGUGCUACUUUUGUCCUAUGAAAGCAAAGGCAAGGAAAAUAGAUGAUAAACUAAUCCUCUUUUGCAACCCAGAACUCAUUGUUCAAUAUGAUUUUGAUACAAACAAGAAAAAAAAAU